rnacentral:lncRNA from 1 species
UUUGUGACCAAGUAUAUUUAAAAAGAGCAAAUCAGAGUAAAAGAGGAGAUACCAACAACAAUAGUAUAUCAUUGAAAAACUAAAAGUGCUGCCUCAAUAAAUGAUGCCUUACAACCUUGAAGUAAUCGCUUUACCUGACCACAAAAUAAAUAAUAUGAAAUUUAAUUUUACAACCAAAACAACAAAAAAUGAGAGUGAAAGAGGAUAUACUGACAAGCGGAAAGCAGCCGACAGGGCACCAAAAUACAGAGAAAUCGAAGCUUCUUGGUUAAAGAACGUUGGUCGAAUGUAGCCUACUAAUGGUGGAAUAGAAGGGUGUUAUGAAAAGAAGCACUCUGUGGGGAUUUUAUU